UACGUAGGGUGCGAGCGUUGUCCGGAAUUAUUGGGCGUAAAGGGCUCGUAGGCGGUUUGUCGCGUCGGGAGUGAAAUCCACUGGCUUAACUGGUGGCUUGCUUUCGAUACGGGCAGACUGGAGGUAUGCAGGGGAGAACGGAAUUCCUGGUGUAGCGGUGAAAUGCGCAGAUAUCAGGAGGAACACCGGUGGCGAAGGCGGUUCUCUGGGCAUGUCCUGACGCUGGAGGAGCGAAAGGUGUGGGGAGCGAACAGG
rnacentral:rRNA from 1 species